ACGAUGAUGUUUGUGAUCAGGCUGUGACCUGCCAGGGAGUUCAAGAUCGCUGUCUUAACGGCACAGUGACAGCUAGUAAUGGUCGGUCUGUGACUCUUCGAGGCUGUGUCUCCAGGAGUCUGUGUGGUUCCGGUUCUGACUCCGGUUCUGACUCCGGUUCUGACUCUGGGUCUGACUCCGGUUCUGACUCCGGUUCUGACUCUGGUUCUGACUCCGGUUCUGUGUCCUGCUGUGAGGGGAGUCUCUGUAACAGAAACAGGGCUAUGAAUGACGCCCAGCCUGUAGCACUUACGCUCCUCACUCUGCUAGUUGGGCUAACAACCACCACACUUCUACAAUCAGUUAAUCAAUGAAUAUCUUGAUUGGGGUUUCUUGUAGAUUUGCAUAUUUUCCAAUGAGGAUUGGCUCUGUGGGGAUCUGCUUCUGGGGAUUUCACUCCCUGACCUACUAGAGUACUGUGGGAUCUGUUGCUUGUUGCUCAUCAGAAGGCGGCUGAAUUGAUCAAUUCUGUAAAAAAAAAAAAAAAAAGACUACUUGGUAGUGUUGG